rnacentral:rRNA from 1 species
GCUUACAGACGGUCAGAGGGGGUAAAACCCUGAUGGCGUGCCUAUUGGAGAAUGAGCCCGCGAGUCAAUAGCUGUGGCCAGCUUAAGGGAGUGACACCCGGAGGCGAAGCGAAAGCGAGUCUGAAUAGGGCGAUUAGUGGCAGUUAUUGGACACGAAACCAGACGAGCUAACCAUGUGCAGGGUGAAAGUCCGGUGACACGGACGGGAGGCCCGAACUCACGUUUAUGCAAAAAACGGGGAUGACAUGUGGUUAGGGGUGAAAUGCCAAACGAGUUUGGAGAUAGCUUGUUCUCUCCGAAAUAACUUUAGGUUAGCGUGUGGUGAUGACGACCGGAGGUAGAGCACUGAAUGGGCUAGGGGGCUGUGAGCUUACCGAACCCAAUCAAACUGCGAAUGCCGGUCGGUGAACCAUGCAGUCGGACGACUGGAGAUGAGUUCAG